rnacentral:sRNA from 1 species
AGUGAGCUGAGACUGCGCACCUGCACUGUAGCCUGAAUGACAGAAUCUUCCACCACCUCCUGUGCCGCCACCUGCUAUAAAGUCACCUACUGCCCAAUCCAAGACACAGCUGGAAGUACGACCUGUAGUGGUGCCAAAACUCCCUUCUGUGGAUGCAAGAACAGACAGAUCAUCAGACAGAAAAGGAAGCAGUUACAAGGGGAGAGAAGUAUUGGAUGGAAGACAGGUUGUUGACAUGCGAACAAAUCCAGGUGAUCCCAGAGAAGCACAGGAACAGCAAAAUGACGGGAAAGGACGUGGAAACAAGGCAGCAAAACGAGACCUUCCACCAGCAAAGACUCAUCUCAUCCAAGAGGAUAUUCUACCUUAUUGUAGACCUACUUUUCCAACAUCAAAUAAUCCCAGAGAUCCCAGUUCCUCAAGCUCAAUGUCAUCAAGAGGAUCAGGAAGCAGACAAAGAGAACAAGCAAAUGUAGGUCGAAGAAAUAUUGCAGAAAUGCAGGUACUUGGAGGAUAUGAAAGAGGAGAAGAUAAUAAUGAAGAAUUAGAG